AUUGAACGCUGGCGGCAUGCCUUACACAUGCAAGUCGAACGGCAGCACGGGAGCAAUCCUGGUGGCGAGUGGCGAACGGGUGAGUAAUAUAUCGGAACGUGCCCAGUCGUGGGGGAUAACGUAGCGAAAGCUACGCUAAUACCGCAUACGAUCUAUGGAUGAAAGCGGGGGAUCGCAAGACCUCGCGCGAUUGGAGCGGCCGAUAUCAGAUUAGGUAGUUGGUGGGGUAAAGGCUCACCAAGCCGACGAUCUGUAGCUGGUCUGAGUGGACGACCAGCCACACUGGGACUGAGACACGGCCCAGACUCCUACGGGAGGCAGCAGUGGGGAAUUUUGGACAAUGGGCGCAAGCCUGAUCCAGCAAUGCCGCGUGCAGGAUGAAGGCCUUCGGGUUGUAAACUGCUUUUGUACGGAGCGAAAAGGCUUCACUAAUACUGGGGGCUCAUGACGGUACCGUAAGAAUAAGCACCGGCUAACUACGUGCCAGCCGCCGCAGUAACAC
rnacentral:rRNA from 1 species